rnacentral:misc_RNA from 1 species
CCGCCCCUUAUCCAGCUAAAGGAUUUUCUCUUUUUUCCAUUCAUUAUUAUUCUAUUUAUUCUGACCUCCAUACCUCGAUCGAGAUAGUGGACAUAGGAUGCCACUCUUUAAAAUGAAAAAAAGGAGUAAUCAGCUGUG